CCGUGAAUUACGGGGCAAUUCUCCUUUGGCACCGGUAGUCCUGUACCAGUAGCAUAGCAACCAUGCAGCUAGCUAGGCCUUAGCUAGUGCCAAAGGAGAACUGCCCUGCGAUUUUGCG
rfam:Hordeum vulgare subsp. vulgare, WGS project CAJW01000000 data, contig: morex_contig_1569118